CAGUAGCCGCGGUAAUACGAAGGGGGCUAGCGUUGUUCGGAUUUACUGGGCGUAAAGGGCGCGUAGGCGGACUGAUAAGUCAGGGGUGAAAUCCCAAGGCUCAACCUUGGAACUGCCUUUGAUACUGUUUGUCUUGAGUUCGAGAGAGGUAAGUGGAACUGCGAGUGUAGAGGUGAAAUUCGUAGAUAUUCGCAAGAACACCAGUGGCGAAGGCGGCUCACUGGCCCGGAACUGACGCUGAAGUGCGAAAGCGUGGGGAGCAAACAGGAUUAGAUACCCGUGUAGUCCCUGUCUCUUAACC
rnacentral:rRNA from 1 species